UAGGCAGAAGUUUCAAUUAAAACUCAGAAUAACGAGAACACAACAUAUAACUAAAUUUGACUAAACCUAAUGCUAACCAGGCAUCCAUAAUAAUUCAGAAUCAUGCUAAAGUUCGAUUAUACAAUACCAAAGUCUAACUACUAAUUCAAAUGGCCAAAGUGUGACCCAAGUUUCAUAAUAGCCCUAUGCUAAACAUACUAAUAACAAUCAUUUACUUAAACCAGAAUUUAAUCCAUUAAGACAACAAACAGAUUUUAGAUGUAAAAUCAGAGCAAGACCAUUAAAUCAACAAAGUAUAAAAUGUCAUGCUUCAAAUUCAGCUUUUCAUUUCAAUCUUCAAGUUCACUUCACAACACUGAGGCUCAAAGUAGAUACCUGGAUAUAGCCAAAAAAAAAAUAAAGAAUUUCAGCAAGGGAAUUGUGAGAUCAACAACAGUUAAGCAGCAAAACAACCAUUAAAAUCAACUCCAACCAAGAAUGAGGUGCAGCAACAACAGUUCCAAUCAAACAGUAGCCCAGCAAGCUUUAAACCAAUUUUGACAACCAGAUUCAACCCAUUUUAUACUCAGAUGAGUCCAUAUUGUUUCAGAAAUUGAAUAAAUUCAAAACAAAUCACUGAAGAGACCCAAUGAAACAGUAAUAAUCAGCCGUUUUGUAUUUCUGUAUUUUUGUUUCUCUUAAAACUCUCAAAACCGAUUCAUUUCGGCCCUCAGAUAAGUCAGAAUUCAAUUCAGGAGUUGGAAAUCUAAGAAAUCACCAAGGAAACUCAAUGAAACAGUAAUUUUUGCAGCCGUUUUUAUUUUUUUCUGAAUUUUAUCUAUUAAGCUCUGCCUUUCAAUGCAAGAAAGCAUGCCUUUAUAGGCCAGGAAGUAGGGCAGCUUUCAGAUUUUAAUAUUUACCCCCUUAGUGCCUUUCCAAUUCUCAUUUUUGCUGCUUAAUCCCUAAACUUCUGACUUGCUGGCCAAGUAAGGCCUUUUUUUCCAGCUUCUAGGAAGCUUCCUAGAUAGUUACCAAAAGAUUCCCUACCCCCAAUUUCCCAAAUUAACUUUUAAAUCUUCUGUUUUUACCCUCAGCAACCAAACAAACCAAGCUUGACCCAGAACCUUUGGGCUCCAAACAGAGACGGGCUUCUAAUGCCCCCCAAGUCUUCCUUACUCAAGGCCCUGAAACUAAUCAAAAAUUAGCCUGGUAACGAAUUGAGCAAAGUCUGACAAAAUUCCCAAAAUAAUUAACAAGCCCGAAUUAAACCCAACAGGAAUCCAAAUCAAACAGAGACAAAUUCCAAUAAAAUAUUAAUCUAAUUACAUGAUUGAAAAGCUUAAAAACCAUUGAUUUUAAUUAGACUGAAACUAAUUCGAAUCACAGGAAAAUAUGAAAACCAGAAAAGAAAAUAAACAAAGGACGAAAAGAAAAGAAAGAAAUAAAGUACCGUUGCAAUCCGCCAUGGAUCGAUGAAGACGAGCCAAUAUCGUCGUUAAUCAGUUGUUCUGAACAAGAACAAUUUCUUAACAAAGUUCUAAGUCAAGUCGAGUCUUGAAACGUUAUUUUCUUUCUGAAUUCAAAUCUAAACUUGAAGAAGAUUGGGGAUUUUGGGGGAAAUUGGCACCAGAUUAACGUCUGAAGGGGUAUGGGGAGUAGAUGGUGAGAGUUUUGGAGUGAUUUGGAGCUUUCUUCCUUCGAAAAUGGCAGAACUUAGGGUUGCAUUAGGGUUAAGACAUGAAGAGAUGAGAGAUGGGAAACUGAAGGGUCUCUGUAUUUUCGAACAUUAUUAUGUGGCAAAGGAGAUAGUUUUAG
rnacentral:lncRNA from 1 species